CGAAGUUCUCCUGGAACACUUCAUAUUACUUGUUACUACGUUGUGGAUAACUCUGUUCGUACUCCUUCUCCUCACUCUCUCCCAGCUCCAGUCACAGUGCUGAAUCAGAAACCGAGACUAACCGUCAGUCAUGAUGGUCAGUUUGAUGAAUUGAGAUUUGUGUGUGAAAUAUCAGGGUCAGAGUCAGUAACUGCUGAUUUUAGCUGUAAUCUCUACACUGGAGAAAAUCCUCAGCUUUUCCUAAACCGAACAUCUCAAAAGGGAAAAUCUGUGAAGGUUUGUAGUUUUACAGCACAGAGAGACGCUGUGUUUAAUCGUCUGCAGUCAGUAAAGAGUCGUGAAGUGAGCUGUGAUUAUUCACUGAUCUCUGACCCGACUGCUCGCUCUCUAAUGAGUGAUAAAUACAACAUGAUGCGUAAGUUACAUUUAAUCAAAUGACAGAAGUUUUU
ensembl:lncRNA